rnacentral:tRNA from 5 species
GGGUCGCUAGCUCAAUUGGCAGAGCUCCGGACUUUUAAUCCGUAGGUUGUGGGUUCGAGUCCCACGCGACCCACC